rnacentral:rRNA from 1 species
AUGAACGCUAGCGACAGGCCUAACACAUGCAAGUCAGGGGCAGCACAAGGAGCAAUCUGAGGUGGCGACCGGCGCACGGGUGAGUAGCACGUAUGCAACCUGCCUGUAAGCGGGGAAUAACCCGUUGAAAGACGGACUAAUACCGCAUAAUACUAAAUUACUGCAUGGUAAUUUAUUUAAACAUUUAUGGCUUACAGAUGGGCAUGCGCAUGAUUAGCUAGUUGGAGAGGUAACGGCUCCCCAAGGCAACGAUCAUUAGGGGUUCUGAGAGGAAGGUCCCCACACUGGUACUGAGACACGGACCAGACUCCUACGGGAGGCAGCAGUGAGGAAUAUUGGUCAAUGGACGAGAGUCUGAACCAGCCAAGUCGCGUGCAGGAAGAAUGUCCUUAAUGGAUUGUAAACUGCUUUUGCAGGGGAAUAAAGUGCAUCACGUGUGAUGUUUUGUAUGUACUCUGCGAAUAAGGAUCGGCUAACUCCGUGCCAGCAGCGGC